AUACUGCUGUGUGAUCUUAGACGAGUCACUCAGGCUUCCUGGGCCUCAGCUUCCCCUGUGCAAUGGGCUUUGGACACAGAGAUCACUAAGAUGAAUAAACUCUCUGUUUAAACGAGGCCUUCUCCCCCAGGCCCUAAGGGGCAGGAACCCAGGAGUCUGAGAGUGAGCCCCUUACCGGCUGUGGUCCCCAGAAACUUUUUUUUUUUUUUUUCUUGAGACGGAGUUUCACUCUUGUUA
rnacentral:lncRNA from 10 species